CUAGAAGCCUGGGAACUACACUUCUGAACUCUGUUACUAGCAGGGUUCCAGUUCAGCCCUUGCCAACACAAUGCGCUUGUGCAAGAUUUGGAGGGCAGCAUGUGGGUGCGAUGUGUCCUUCUUGCAGCAGCAGUCAGCCCUCACGUGCCCACAGAAAUUAAUUCCAUCCCAAAGUGUUAUAAGGGAACUUGGGUCAGCCCGCCUGGAGGAGGACUGUCGUGUCUGGAGAUCACAGGAGGAAUCGGGAGAAACCACUCGUGCGGUGACAUAAAACACAGGAGCACUGGGGAGAAGGCAGGUGGGGAGAAACAGCGGCCUGCUCUGCACCUCCACCGUCACACCUGACAGGGCUCCAGAAGGACAAGCCACCCCCCGCCCAGCCUGCAGAGAAAACGUGUCCAAGAAUCAAGCGCAGGGGUGAAUCCCGAAUGUGCGGCGUGUACAAAGGAGAUGGCAGGGCCGCUUGGAGUGAAAAGUGAGAAC
rnacentral:lncRNA from 1 species